AUUGAACGCUGGCGGCAGGCCUAACACAUGCAAGUCGAGCGGAUGAAGGGAGCUUGCUCCUGGAUUCAGCGGCGGACGGGUGAGUAAUGCCUAGGAAUCUGCCUGGUAGUGGGGGAUAACGUCCGGAAACGGGCGCUAAUACCGCAUACGUCCUGAGGGAGAAAGUGGGGGAUCUUCGGACCUCACGCUAUCAGAUGAGCCUAGGUCGGAUUAGCUAGUUGGUGGGGUAAAGGCCUACCAAGGCGACGAUCCGUAACUGGUCUGAGAGGAUGAUCAGUCACACUGGAACUGAGACACGGUCCAGACUCCUACGGGAGGCAGCAGUGGGGAAUAUUGGACAAUGGGCGAAAGCCUGAUCCAGCCAUGCCGCGUGUGUGAAGAAGGUCUUCGGAUUGUAAAGCACUUUAAGUUGGGAGGAAGGGCAGUAAGUUAAUACCUUACUGUUUUGACGUUACCAACAGAAUAAGCACCGGCUAACAUCGUG
rnacentral:rRNA from 1 species